CAGCAAUCCUACGGUGAUCUCUAUAUCCGAUCUCCUGCAGCCCACCCCAUGAAGCGGAUUGAAAGCCAGAGGCACGGUGCUGCCAGAGCUGUAAACUGCUGAGAAAGCGGGCACGCUGUAAAAGAUCGUCCACUGGAUUAUCAUCGACAGGAAAUUGUUACUGAGGGGUGCAAAACAGUUUCUGGAAAAUCAGGAACAUCUGUCCGCUAUCAGAGCUUUUGCUGCAAUGCGUUUGGACACUUGGAAAACAUUUGCAGAGACUACAGGAGCCAAAAGUUUUCCGUUGGAUGAGUUUCUCGCCAAAUACCCUCCCCAACUCAUGUACUUCUCUCUUGACUCUUUCGUGGUAAUGUGUGCCUGGGAAGCUGCCAGAAGGUGCAAGUGCUGCUCCGCAAAAGGAACAACGGAGAGCUCCUGGCUGCUCGGUGCGCCGGACCGAGUUUUGGCGCCGAUGCCGGGGUAGCAGGGGCCAGACAAGUCGGGAGGAGCUUCUCCUCCUGUCCCUUCUCGGAAUGCAUGUUGCAGGAGAGCUCAAAAAAAGGG